rnacentral:lncRNA from 1 species
UUCGUGUUCUCCCUCUACCUAGCCGCCACUUUCUUCACUCCGAGCGCCCCACCCUCCUCUCCCUUCCGCUAUGACCCAUGAGCGCCCGACUCUCUCUCUCUCUCUCUCUCUCCCCUGUUCUUCGUCCGAUGCCCUCCUCGCUCCUGCAUCUUCUCCUUCGUCCAUGUCGACUACCGUCCAUGUCGACAAAUCAACCGCAUCCCGGGACCCUAAUCCUGCGGCCCCUCAUCUCAGAUCUUGAUUCCCCGACCGGCUCGGCGUGCAACUGCUCAUCGAUUCUAUGCUGGCCUUGAGGAUCCACCGCAAGAUCCACACCGUUCUCCCUCCCUCACUUUUGCCUCUAUUUUUUUCUCGGUUGUUUUAGGGUUUGUCCAUGUUUUACGCAGGUAAGAACAAGAGGAGGUGCUGACCUAGAGCCGAUGAAGAAGGAGACCAUCACGAGGGAGUACAUCGUCAUCCUUGACAUGCGCCUCCAUCGAUGACUCGUGUAACCCGUGUCCCGUGCCUGUGGUUGUGUGCUCGGGGCCGACUUGAUGGUCUUCGGAUAGGCAUACGGUUGUGGUGAUGUUACUGGUUGCUGCAGUUGGUGGCUCUAUUGGUCUCCCGGAGCGGCGGUGGAAGCAUCUUCUUCGACUUAGGCGCACUAGCUCCGUUUGUGUGAUGUUAGGUUACUGGACGCUCUCUUUUUUUAACGUGUUUUAUGAUGUUUAACGACUCAUGCGUGUGCUAUGGUUCUGCUCAGUUUGUUGUUGAGUAUAUGUUGUUUCUAAUAUCCCCAUGGUUGCAAUGCUUCUCCUAAUUAUGGUUACUGUCUAGUACUCCUAUUUAUACAUGACUUAUGAUGAUGACAUGGUUGGGUUUGUGUAGGCUAUUAUUUACGAUUUAGGCACUAUACUGUGAAUAAACUUGUUAUUGGUUAUUGGCAUGGUCUCUAUUGUUAGUAGCAAAUGCUUAAAUAUAAUUUCUAGAAUUGGUCAUGAGCUAAAAAUUACUAUCAUUGAUUUUACUUGUGCUCUACAACUCCUUGAUUGGAUUGUUGUGUGUUUGCGCAUUAUGCAGAUUUACAUGUUAUUAUUUGUAUGUUGCCUAAUCGGUCGCACAUGGUCAAAUUCUUGUUAGGUGUUAGGUGACGAC